UACAGAGGUCCCAAAGCGUUGUUCGGAUUCAUUGGGCGUAAAGGGUGCGUAGGCGGCGCGGUAAGCUCGGGUGUGAAAUCUCGGGGCUUAACUCCGAAACUGCAUUCGAUACUGCCGUGCUUGAGGACUGGAGAGGAGACUGGAAUUUACGGUGUAGCGGUGAAAUGCGUAGAUAUCGUAAGGAAGACCAGUGGCGAAGGCGGGUCUCUGGACAGUUCCUGACGCUGAGGCACGAAGGCCCAGGGGGAGCAAAACGGG
rnacentral:rRNA from 1 species